UCUGUAACCAGAAAGACAUUACCAUAAUUUUUCUGGUAAUACUAACAAUUGGUUAGAGUAUGAGUAAUGCUUAAGAAAUUACUCAAGUCAAAACGCAUUGAGUUUAGAACUCAAUGAACUAUGUAAGAAAAGGUUUCGAGGACGAAACCUCUUUAAGGGGGGUAGACUUGUAACACCCCGAAAACGGGUUUAGUAAUUAAACCUCGUUAAUACAAAAGAGUGGGUAAAAUACCGUUAGUGGUAAAAUUUAACCGGUAAAUAUUAGGAUUUAAAUAAUUAAUCCUAAUAUUAAACAAAAAGUCAAUAAAAGCUUUUAGGAAAUAAAAGCUUAGAAGGCCCGAGUUAACGGGACUUAAAUUAAACUUAGUCAUAAAUAUUCCCGAACCCGCUAAGCUAACUAGGAAUGCUUGACCCGGUUAAUAAAAGGGAAUAUGGAUUGUAAAUAAGUAGGUUAUAAUCAACUUAAUAACUAACGAAACAUGAAGGACCAAAGUUGGAUAAUUGGAAAUAAGGUUUAUUUACUAAAAACAAAAAUAAAAACACACCACACCUAGUGUGUGCGUGUGUGAGGUCGACCAGGAGAAAGCUCAGGGAGCUCAAACCCUAACUUCCACAACUUGAUCAAAUUGAAGCCCAAAUCAAGAGCCAAAUCACUGCAUGAACACAAAUUCGUGAUCACCUAAUCAUGGGGAUUACAAGUUUGACGCGUCACAAGCUAGGUGGAAGCUUGGAGUGAAAGCGGGUCAAACAAGGCAAGCAUGGAAGAAAGGCGUAGCUCGGAUGCAAUGUACUUGUGGAAGCCGGAAGACGAUCAAGCUCAACGAAGAACCGAACACGAUACAGUUACAUGCUUCCGCACUUCGCCACGUUGUGAAUUUUAAACAACGAACUUCGAUCACGUUAUGUAGAAUAAUUUAUAAUUUGUAAAAGUUUUGAAUAAACCCGCAUUUAUAUAAUAUGUGUGGUCUUAACUACA